AACUUUUAACAACGGAUCUCUUGGUUCUCGCAUCGAUGAAGAACGUAGCAAAGUGCGAUAACUAGUGUGAAUUGCAUAUUCAGUGAAUCAUCGAGUCUUUGAACGCAACUUGCGCUCUUUGGUAUUCCAAGGAGCACGCCUGUUUCAGUAUCA
rnacentral:rRNA from 1 species